rnacentral:rRNA from 1 species
CAAACUUGGUCAUUUAGAGGAAGUAAAAGUCGUAACAAGGUCUCCGUUGGUGAACCAGCGGAGGGAUCAUUAUCGAGUUUAUCCAACUCCCAACCCUAUGUGAACCUACCUUUAUGUUGCUUCGGCGGUCUCGCGCCGGGUUGCUCCCCUGGGGGCUCCCGGGACCACGCGUCCGCCGGAGACCACAAACUCUUGAUUUUGCGAAAGCAGUAUUAUUCUGAGUGGCCGAAAGGCAAAAAACAAAUGAAUCAAAACUUUCAACAACGGAUCUCUUGGUUCUGGCAUCGAUGAAGAACGCAGCGAAAUGCGAUAAGUAAUGUGAAUUGCAGAAUUCAGUGAAUCAUCGAAUCUUUGAACGCACAUUGCGCCCGCCAGCAUUCUGGCGGGCAUGCCUGUUCGAGCGUCAUUUCAACCCUCGAGCUCGUCUUCAUUGACGGGAUCGGUGUUGGGACCCGGCGAGCGGGGACUUUUGUCCUCUGCCGGCCCCGAAAUUCAGUGGCGGCCCGUUGCGGCGACCUCUGCGUAGUAACUCAACCUCGCACCGGUAACAGCAUCGUGGCCACGCCGUAAAACCCCCGACUUUUAUAAGGUUGACCUCGAAUCAGGUAGGACUACCCGCUGAACUUAAGCAUAUCAAUAAGCGGAGGA